rnacentral:tRNA from 1 species
UUCCUAGAAGCGAAUUUUUCGCAUUAAGUUUCGGCCUUAACCUUAGGAAAUCAGUUUAAUUUCCUCUAGGGGUCCA